AGUGGACUGAGGUCCGUCUUGUUUCGCGAUUCUGCUCAGUUUGUGAGUUAUUUCUGUGACUACGAAAAAAGCGCGCUGCGCUUUUUUCGUACGGCUGGUUUUGUACGUUUCUUCGGCGAAGCAAUCGCCGAAUUGGAGAUCCGUUGGCGCAGCGAAUCGCCAUUUUCCGUCCGUGAGCCCGUGUGCCCAGCAAAGGCCCGCCUCGAGUAGGUAGCCAAUCGGAGGCGCGAGUGUAAUCGCUAGACUAUCAGCGAAUUCUCCCGUCGGUCGCCAAUUGCCGAAGGUAAGGUCCGAUACGUUAUUCUCCGUGGACCAGAGAACGAGAGCCGGUUCGCGUGUCGCGUGUCGCAAAUUGCACGCCGUGAACCAGAUCCGAUUCGAGAGAAUAGGAGGCGUAACAUUCCCCGCUCGGCCUAGUAGGAAUCUAAGUACGCGAAGCCGGGUCGUUGGGCUCUGUUGCGUCCCAAUUGUCUGAUGAGGGUCGUCCCGGGAAUAAACGGCAUCCGCCGUACGCUCUCGUUUAUGUGAAACCGGAAGCUUCCGUCCAGCCGCCACUCCCUCCGCACCGUUCUUCGGCCAUAUGCACACGGGUCCAGUAGUCGUCGCCGGACACAACGAUGGUCGCCUACAAACUGUCGUCAUCACCGAGGACUGCCGUCUACUUCGAGUUCGUCAAGUAAAAACCUGCGCAGGUACGUCGUUAUUUUGUUCAUGGCCAUGUAACAUUUCCGUUCCGUACAUUUUUGUAAUACGUCCAACCCGAAUGAAUGCUUGUGUUUAAGUUAAUGAAUUUUAAGAAAUUGAAUUUUAUGUUUUUUUUCCAUAUUACGUUUGACUGACUUGAAUAAAAUCACUCCUUCUGUAAUUAUAUAUGUUUUUUUCCGUUUGAUUGUUUUUAACUUCAGUUUUCCCUAAGUUUUUAGCAGCUUUUUGGUGCAGUUUGAGAUUGGGUUUUCGUUUAUAAGAAAUUCUGCCGAUUUUCCGCGAGCCGUUCGAAAUCCUCUGAGAAACGAGUCUCUAUUACAGUCGGGCAUACUUCAACACGACCGGUGGCCUCUCUCUGAGAGUGGCGCUUAAGCCACCGCGCUUAUAAAACCCUCGAGCUAAUUCGGCGAACGGUUACAAAUUAAUCAUCUGUUGUUCAACCAUUAAUCAAAUAAUUUUUAACAGCUGACACAAGCAUGGUUUUUGUGAAGUCCACAUCGCUUCUUCAGCCUCAAUGCAGACUUAGUUCAACUUAUGUUCUUGACUAUUCAGUAACAACAAGUAAUGCUCUUGUUUUCGUGGAUUUGUAUACAAUUGUGUGUGGUUUAGAUGCUAAGGUGAGUGACUAAAUAUAAUUCAGGAGGUUCGAGUUCAAUGCCCAGUUUUCCCACAAAUUAAUUUAUGCAUUCCUAAACAUCUCUUCUGGAAACAGACGCAGCAAAUGGUAAAAAUAGGCUCAGAAAAGUGUUUUUAUUUUAUUUUUACACAAUUCAUUCAAUUAAUAAUGAUUUAGCGCAUAUUAAGCCCUAAAUCAGCCUUCCAAUGAACCUCAAAUCAGCUAAAGGUUGAAUAAAAUUACCAAAAUUAGAUGUUUAGGAGCUGAAUAAAGGAUUGUACCUCUUGUGCUCAGCUUUUGUUCAAAUGGAGGCUGAUUUAAAAUGGUUGGAGAAACGUUUGUACAGCAUCAAAUUGUUACCUGGGCUCAUAGUUCUUCAUACGAUUCAUUUUACUUCUUCAAAGAAAAAUCGCUUGGGGUUACCCCUUGAUCCCUAGAUAUUCCUAUAUAUAUAAUAAGUCAUAAAUGACUUAUAUACAAAACUUCACGAGGAAUCAGACGUCCGAAGACCGUAAAGCGAUGCGACGUUCGUGGAAAAAUCUAUUAGGCUUUUACCCGAUCGAUAACACGACCAGAUUUUAUUAUUUGUUGAUAUUCCUUACAUGUAAACCCUCCUUUGGCAUUAGCGCCGUUUUUUUUUCUGGAAGAAUUCGUUUGAGAAUUCCUCUGAGAAUUCCUCCAGGAUUGCCUCCGGGAAUCCCUUUUAAAAAUCCUGUGGAAAUUCCUUGGGAGUUUCUCCAGUAAUUUCUCUGAGAAUUCCUUUGGAAAAAAUACUUUGAGUUUUCCUCCGGGAACUCCUUCCAGCAUUUCUCUGCGAAUACCUCUGGGAAUUUCUCCAGAAAUUAUUCUAAGAAUUCCUCCAGAAAUUAUCAUGGAAAAUCCUCCAGGAAUUUCUCUGGGAAAUCCUCCAGAAAUUCCUCUGAAAAUUUCUUAUGAAAUACCUCCAGAGAUUCAUCUGGGAAUUACUCUGGGAAUUCCUCCAGGAAUUCUUUCAGAAAUUUCCCUGAAAAUGCCUCCUGGAAUUCCUCUAGGAAUACCUCCAAUAACUUCUCUGGGAAUUCCUCUUGGUUUUUCUCUGGAAAUUCAUACAAUUUUUUUCUGGAAGUUAACUAAGUAAUAACUUUGGAAAUUCAUUCAGGAACUCCUCUGGGAAUUCUUCCAGGUGUUUCUCUGUUUAUUCCUCUGGAAAUUCCUGUGGUAAACCUUCCAGGAACUUCUAUCGUAAUUCCUUGAGGAACUCCUUCAGAAAUUCUUGUGCAAAUUCCUUCAGGAAUUUGAAAGAUUUUUCUGAGAAUUCCUCCUGGAAUUUUUCUGGGAUUCCUCCAGCAUUCCUUUGGAAAUUUCUCUAGAAUUUCCUCCGUGAAUUCGGUUAGACGGUUAGGGAUUUCUUCCUGAAAACCUCAGGAGAUUCCUACAGUAAUUCCUCCAGGAAUUCCUCGCGGAAUUUAUAUUCAAAUUCCUCCAGGAAUUUCUCAAGGGAUUCUCCAAUGAAUUCCUCUGAAAAUUCCUCCAGGAGUUCCCCCGUGAGUUCCUCCAGGAAUUCUGCUGUGCUUUUCUCUGGAAAUUUCUCUAGGAAUUCUUCUGGGAAUUCCUUCUGGAAUGACCCUGAGAGUUCCUCCGUAAUACCACUCGGCAUUUCUCCAGAAAUUCCUCUGGGAAUUCCACGAGGAACUCCUUUGAAAAUUCCUCCUGGAGCUCCUCUGGGAAUCCCUCCAGGAACUUUUCUGGGAAUUUCUUCGGAAAUUCUUUUGGGAUUUUCUGCAGAAAUUCCUCUGAGGAUUGCUUCAGAACUUUUUCUAGAAUUUCUUCUGGAUUUCUACUGGAAAUUCCUCCAGGAAUUUAUCUGGAAAUUUCUGCAGGAUUUUCUCUGGCAAUUCCUCCAGAAAAUUCUCUGGAUAUUCCUCCAGAAAACUCUGUGGGAAUUCCUCCAAGAAUUCCUCUAACAAUUCCUCUGGAUGAAUUUCUUUGAGAAUUCUGUCGGGAAUACCUCCGGAAAUGCCUUCAGGAAUCCCUUCGGGAAUUCCAUAAGCAAUUCCUCCGGGAAUUUCUCCGGAAAUUUCUCUGGGAAUUUCUCCGGGAAAUUUUCUUCCAAGAAUUCCUCCGGGAAUUCGUCCUAGAAUUCCUCCGGGAAUUCCUCCAGAAAUUCCUUCAGAAAUUUCUCUAGAAAUUGCUUCAGGAAUCCCUCCAGGAAUUUGUCCAGAAAUUCCUCCAGGAAUUUGUCCAGAAAUACCUCCAGGAAUUUCUCUGGAAAUUCCUCUAGGAAUUUCUCAGGAAAUACCUGUAGGAAUGUCUCUGGGAUUUUUUCAAGAAAUUUCUCCAGGAAUUCCUUUAUGAAUUGUUUUAGAAAUUUCUUUGGGAAUUUCUCUAGGUAUCCCUCCCGUAAUCCUUUUGGGAAUUCCUGAGGGAAUUUCUUCAAGUAUUUCUUCAGAAAUUUAUCCAGGAAUUCCUCCAGGAAUAAAACUGGAAAUUCCUCCAGAAAACUCUCUGGAUAUUCCUCCAGAAAACUCUGUGGGAAUUCCUCCAAGAAUUCCUUUAACAAUUUCUAUGGACGAAUUUCUUUGAGAAUUAUAUCGGGAGUACUUCCGUGAAUUCCAUAAGCAAUUCCUCUGGAAAUUCCAUAAACAAUUAUUCCGGAAAUUUCUCCGGAAAUUCCACCGGGAAUUCCUUUGGAUUUUUUUCGGGAAUUCCUCCGGGAAUUUCUCCGGGAAUUUCUCCGGGAAUUUUCUGGGAAUUUCUCCGGGAACUUCUCCUGGAAUUUUUCCGAGAAUCUCUCCGGGAAUUUCUCUGGGAUUUUCUCCUGAAGUUUCUCCGAAUAUUAUUUUCACCGGAAAAUAUUUUCUCCGGAAUUUUUUUUCCAAGAAUUCGUCCUGGAAUUCCUGCGGGAAUUCCUCCGGAAAUUUAUCCAGAAAUUCCUUCAGAAAUUUCUCUAAAAAUGCUUCAGUAAUUCCUUCAGGAAUUUCUCUAGUAAUUCCUCCAGGAAUUUCUCUAGAAAUUCCUCCAGGAAUUUCUCUAGAAAUUCCUCCAGGAAUGCCUAUGGGGUUUUUUCAAGAAAUUUCUCCAGAAAUUCCUCUGUGAUUUUUUCUAGAAAUUUCUCUGGGAAUUUCUCCAGGUAUUCCUCCCGUAAUUCUUCUGGGAGUUCCUCCCGGCAUUCUUGAGGGAAUUUUUUAAAGAAUUCCUCUAGAAAUUUUUCCAGGAAUUCCUCUACAAAAUUGUCCUAGCUCAACCUCAACUGAAACAACUCACCAAUCGACAGAAAUUUCCCCAAUGUAUGCGAAGUAAAUAACGGGAAAAGCGGAUUUUCCACCGAGAUUUUUCAACUGACUGACGAUCGGAGCCCGGCGAGUGUAGCGGCCUUGGCAAAGGCAUCGUUAACAUUUCCAGGAAGGAUAUUGAAUUGUACUUUCUACUUUAUUUUUUUAUUUUUUGCUCCAUACCAAACAGUUGGAGAUAUGCAAACUCUCAAACUCUCUGUGUCUUCUCUCUCGGUCUCUGUCUCUAUAUCUGUCUCUGAAUGGGGGGCAAGAUGGAUGAUGACACAAAACAACAAAAGUCACCCGCCGCGGAACGACCGAACGAACGAACGGGGUGAGUGCUCUUGAGUAGCUGGAAACACAUCUCGAGAGGCUUUUCUGAGUAUUUCGAACUGUGGCGGCAGGGUAGCUACUUGACAUUUUUUUUUGUUGCUUUCUGUUGGUCCUAUUUGAUGGGGCUGUUUUGUGUGAAAACGGAUGCAGUGGCAAAGAGCGUGUGGCAGGGAAUUAUGUUGGAACAAUGCUUCUGCUGCUGCUACUGCUGUUGCGGACUGAAUGUUGUCACUUGCAACUUUUUCUAUGGGUUUCAUCAUUGGCUCACAAAGUGGGUGGAAGGCUCUCUGCUGGGUGAAUGACAUUGUUUUGCUGGUUUGUGAUGUGUUUUACAAAGUUGUGUGGCGUAUUGUAAAAUUUCUAGUUACUGGGGAAGGGAAAAGUUUUGUUUUACAACUGGUAGGCAACAAUAACCUCAAUUUGAGGGAUAAUACUGUUGGUAUCUGUGUUGCAGUGGUACAAGGGAUAGUAGAUAAUGAAUGAACUUGGCUGGCAAAUGUUUACAUACUAGGCAUUCUAUAGUUUGAUGAAAAGUAGUUGAUUCGAUAGUAUCCCAGGAGCAAUUCCUGAGGUAGUCUCUAGAGGAAUCCUUGUUGAAAAUUCUAGAGAACUCUGGAAGAAUUUAUGAAGGAAUCCUUGGAGAAAUAUUUGAAGGAUUUUUUGGAGUAAUUCCUGGAGCAAUCCAUAGAGCAAACCCAGGAGAAAAUUCCGGAGGAGUUCCUCAAAAACCCCUGGAGCCUUGCCUUGUGCCGUUUCUGGAGUUCUUUGGAGUGAUUCCUGGAUAUCCCUAGAGAGAUUCCUGAAGCAAUUUCUGAAGGAAUCUCUGGAAAAUUCCUGUAGGAACUCCAGGAAGUUUUCCUGAAAAAAGUCACGGAAUCAAUUUCUAUAGGAAUCACUGGAAUCCUUGGAGUAAUUCUGGAGUAAUUCCUCUGCAGGAAUAUAAUAAUAUAGAAAUAUAGAAACACCUCAAGAAAUGAUUAGAGCGAGUCCAAACUUCAAGCUUUAAUAAAUAAUCCAUGAAUCCAUUUCCAAACAAAUUGCCCCUGCAGCUGGCGAUCUCGAUUAGCAAGCCCGCCUCCUACUCAAAUGACCAAAUUGAGAAAUCAAAAAGAAUGCCAUUCAAACAAGCCAAAAGAAAACAGGAUCCCAUAUUCUCCAAAUUCGAAUCCGCUUCCGAAUUCACAAUCAUCGACUGUGCAGGGGGAGGUGGCCUUCUCUGCCCUGAUCGUCGUCAUCGUCCUCCAUUCUCACAUCAAGAUUUAAUACGAUUUCGACUGAUUGUGCGAUGUUUAUGCUGCUGCUGCUGCUGCUAUUGCCCCGGGGCCCCAGAUGACGCGCUCUCUGCAACAAUCGGGAAGGAAGACUCGGACGACGACGACAAUGAUGCUGAUGAUGAUUACGCCCGGUCAAGCGCAGGGAAGCGUUCGCAAUCUCAUAAAGGAAUCGCAGAAUCGGAAAACAUGCUUCUGCUGCUGCCCUCCUCCGAACAACUGACCGACCGGUUGGUUGGUCGGUCAGAGCCCAGAGCUAGUCUGCUGAUCUGCUGCCCGGGGAAAAAAUCGAAAAGAAUGAGAUAAAAAACCGGCAGCCCAAUUCCCAAGGGGUGGGAAAAUUGCUUUCAUCCGAUAAGCAUCAGUCGACUGACCCGACUCGACUCGGAUCGACCCCCGCCGUAAGAGAAUGGGUGGGAUUGCAAGGGAUGAUCGAGAGGCGAAAAAAGGGUCAAAAUAUGUUUUCAUUGUCCUAUCGAUGAGUGUGUGAGCAGAGAAAGAGAGUGUGUGCUGAUGCGCCACCCGAUGCUGACCCUCGCCCAGUUAUAGCUGUUUAAAUUGUUUGAAAUUUAAUUCUUCGGGAUGUAAUUUUCGGGAUUGGGCCCGUCCGGCAGUGAACGAUUGAGCCGAUUUUGGUUGGCAAAGGGGAUUAUCGGUUUCGGGUAAUGAGCGGAAAUGCCUGAGUGGAUUGAUCGAGUGAAUGGUGUCACUGGAUGAGGCCUUGUGGUCGAUUUUCAUUAAAUGCACCCCUUGCAUCGAAUAGCAGUUGACACUAGGGCUGGACUCUUGACUCUUAGUCAUUCUUUUCCACUGGACCAUGGUUGUACAAAUUAUGUUUUACCUGAGCAUUUCAACAGUUAUUACCAUCGUUGCUUCAAUCAAUCAGUAAGCUUCACAGAUAAGUUGUUUUUGUCCAGGAUUUUUCGUAGUUUCUAGCGAUAGUGUAGUAUACCGCCUUGAAAUCAUUGAACUGAUGAUUUGUAGGAACCUGCUAUACACGGAAUUUAUGGAAAAUUUGUCAUAAGGUGAAAAUCUGGUCUGUUGACGACCGGCCGUCGAUGAAACCAGCUUGAUAAUUUUUCGCGAAGUCAUUUGUUUAAGAUCACAGAAAACAGAAGCAGAAGAUGAUCUGCGAUAGCACUUUGUAGGCGCCAUUCAGUUGAUCAAUUGGAAGUUUUUCUAAAUGGUUGCCGUUCUUGUUGAUAGGCUGAGUAGCUCAUCCUCCCACUGUUGGUGUUCGUUUUCCUAGAUUCUGACUGUCACCAGGGCUGACAGAUGACCAACUUCUCUUGGCCCUUCCUGAUGAGUUCGCCAUCCAUACCAUUUGCUUGCUUGGUUUGGAGCUAGAAAUUAGCAUCUUUAAAUUCUCUCAAUGUGAGAGUUGGAUCAUUCCCGUUCUCUACUGUACUGUCGUAGUUGGUUACUUCGCUGCCUUGAUCUUGCAUUCCUACUUUAUGAAUUUCUUUAUUACUUGAUUAAUUUAUCAGACAAUUUCUCUAGGAAUUCCUUUAGAAAACCCUUCAGGAAUUCUUUCCAAAAUUCUUCGAAGGAAUUUUCCGAAAACUUUCCAAAACUUACAUCAGAAUUUAAUUUAAUAAUUCCUUCGGAAAAUUUUGGAAAGCAAUCGGUUUAGAAAUUCCGGGAAAUUCAUUAAUUUUUUUAGAAAGUUUUUAAAUUCGACCAGGGAUCGACUAAAGGAAAUUUUUCAAAACUUUCACUAAGAAUUAUUUAGGAAAAUCUUGCAUGAUUUUUUUCAGAAGCUUCCCUUUAUUUUUUCCGAAAAUUCAUUGUUUUAAAUUGUUUCAAAAAAUGGUACACUUGAAAUGUUUUCUAUAAGGAUUGCUGGAAAAAUUCCUUAAGUGUAUCUUUUAGUAAUAUUACAAGUUAUUUCUCCAGAUUUUUUUUAAGAUUUCACUUGGAAACUUGCAAACUUAGAAUUUUCACCACGGAUUAGAGACACUCCUACAUGAUUUUUUUUCAGAAAUUUCUUCUGAAAGGCUUUUGGAAAGUUUUCCAGAGAUCUCUUCAGAAACAUGGAUUUCUUACGAAUCCUCACUUGGAUUUUUUUCCUCUGGUGAUGUUUUCUAAAAAAAAUCCUAAUUCCUCCAGGGAUUUCUUUAGAAGCUACGCAUGAAGAACAUCGUUAUCAUCAUGCAACUUCUUCCAGGGAUUAUAUUUUCAGAAAUUACGCUUGAUGUAAGGAUUACUGUAGAAAAUCCUCGAAAAUUUCUUACUGUUUUAUGUUUUUGAAUUUUCUUUUUUAGGAAAUACAUUCGAAAAUCUAUUCGACAAUUCCUUUCACGGAUCUUUUCAAAAAAUAUUUUAAACAUUCAAUCAACAAUUUAUUAAAUCCUUCGUAAAAUUUACUACAACAUCCUCUAACAAUUACCAACAGUUCCGUGGCGAACUCGCCUAGGGCGAAAAGCCACGUUAAUAAAAGCAAAAAAAAAUACCAACAGUUAUUUUAGAAAAUCCAGCAACGAUUACUUUAAGAAUUUCUCAAAGAAUUUCUCUAGGAACUCCUUCAGAAAAUCCUUUAAAGAGUGUUUCAAAAAUUAUUCGGAGGAAUUUUCAGGAAACCUUCCAAAAAUUACUUCAGAAAUUUAUCCAACAACUCCUUCAGAAAUUUCGCUACAAUUUUUUUUUUAAAUUCUCGCAUUUCAAGGACUUUUUCAAAAGGAUUCAUUCUUAAAUUAACUGCAGGAAUUGCUUUGGAAAUUCUGGAAUCCUUCCAGAAAUUUUUUAUUGUUUUUAGAAAAAUUUUAAAGUCUACCAGGGACUGUAGAAAAUCGUCUGAGGAUUUUUUCAAAAAAAUCACAAUGAAUUAUUUAAGAAAAUCCUAGGGCUGAAAAUCUCUAUAAUAAAGUAACAAUAAUAAUAAUAAUUUUUGAAAAUCUUGGGUGGAUUUGUUCAGAAGCUUUCGUGUAUUUUUUGCGAAAAUUCCUCUAAAUAUUCUGAAAGUCUCUUAAAUAAAGACAAAUCAAUCAAUCAAAUCAAUCUAAAUAUUCCUUGUUUUGAAUUGUUUCAAAAAUUCUACAUUUGGAAUGUGUUAUGUGGGCAUUGCUUGAGAAAUUCCACAAGUGUAUUUUUUUAGAAACGUAAGAAGUUUUAUCUCCAGAUUUUUUCUAAGAUUUCGCUAGGAAACUUACAACCGCAGAAUUUUCUCCAUUUCUGAAUUUAAGACAUUCCAGUAUGAUUUUUUUUUUUCAAAGAUUAUCCCAGAAAAGGUUAAAGGAUGUUAAUAGAGCUCUAUUUAGAAAUAUGAGUUUCUUGUGAAUUCUCUCUAGGAAUGUCUUUCUUCUGGUGAUGUUUUUUUUAAAAAUCUUUCUUAAUUUAUUCGGUGAUUAUUUCAAAAAUAACGAGUGAAGUGCAUCGUUAUAAGCAUGCAACUUCUUCCAGGGAUUUUUUUUUUCGGAAAUUUGUUUUAGGAAACUCACUAGAAUUGUCUCUUAUAAAUACCCAGAGAUUUUUUUUUUUGAAAUCCUGCACUGAUAACUUCAAAAGUUCUUCAAGGUUUCUGUAGAGAAUCGUUCAGGGAUUCUUUCCAAAAUCCUGAAUCGACCAAAGAUGCAAAUCUUUGAGAAAAUCCUUCUGAGAUUUCAUCAGAAAUUUUCCCAGUUUAUUUUUAGAAAACCUUCGAAAACAUUCAUUUGAAAAUGCCUACAGGAACUUCUUUGGGAUUUUUUUUUUCAAGAACUCCACCAGAAAUUACGACAACAAUUUCUUCACGGGUUAUUUCAAAACAACCCUGAACUAUACAUUAAGAAAUGAAUAUAGCCAUCGUUCAAGGAAUUUUUCAAAAACUCCACUAGGGAUUCCAUUAAUUUCACAAAAAAUUCCUUAAGAAAAUCUUGCAUUGAUUUCUUAAAAAACUACAUUUGAAAUGUUCACUAUAGGGAUUGCUUGCGAAAUUCGUCAAGUGUUUCUUUUAGAAAUGUUAUUUCUUCGGAUUUUUUUGAACUUGUAACCCAGAAUUUUAUCCAUGCAUUAAAAACAAUUCCGCAUGAUUUUUUUCCAGAAGCCUCCUAUUUCAGGAUGUUUCCAGAGAUCUUUUCAGAAAUAUGGAUUUCUCGUGAAUUCUCUCUGGGUAUUUUUUUUUUCUCUAGUGAUGUUUUUCUUUAAAAUAAAUCAUUCCUUACUCCUCCAGGGAUUCCUUCAGAAACUACGCGUGAAAUACCUGAUUGUCAUAAUUUAACUCCUUCCAUGUAUUUUUAUUUCUCAGAAAUUUUCCUACAAAAAAAAUUACUUGACAUUUCUUUUACAAUUACCUACCCAGAGAUUUUUUCCGAUUAUCGAGCAUUGAAAUUUUAGAAAUUAUCCAAGAUUCCCGUAGAAGACCAUUCAGGGAUUCUUUUCAAAAUUUUUCGAUGAUAUUUUAAGAAAACCUCCUGAAAAUUCCUUCGGAAAUUUAUCCAACGAUUUCUUUGGAAUUAUUUGCAAGGAUGUUUCCAGAAAUUGUUUGUAUUUCGUGGGCCAUUUCCAAAAAAAAAUCCAAGGAUUAACUCGGAAGUUUUCUUCAGGAGUUGCUUUGGAAAUUUAUUAAAAAAUUUCACUGGAGAUUUUUUGAAAAAAUGAUCAUAAUUUUUGUUUUAAGAAAAUCUUGAAAUUCGACCAGAGAUUCCUUCAGACAGUCCUCAGGAUAUUUAUUUAGGAAAUUCUGCUGAAAAUCUUUGAGAGCUCUACAGAGUUGCUCUAGAGAUUCCGCCAGAUUUUUUUUUUGUCGAGGAUUCCUCUAGAAAACUUUUACCACUCCAUGGAAUCCGAAAUAUCUUCUGGGAUUCUUUCGAAAAAUCUUUCCUUAAUUCAUUCCACAAAUCAGAAAUUCAAAAUUCCUUCGACAAUUUUCAAAAAUUUCUUUCGGAAAUUUGUCCAAGGAUUCCCAAAGAAAUGUCAUCAACUGCUCACUUAGACAAUUUUUAAUAAGUUCCUUUAAAAUAAACUCAUGAAUUCCUUAACGAACUCCUCCUGGAAUUCUUUUAGGGAAUCUUCCACGAAUCCCUUCAGAUACCACUCAAGGAAUUAAUUUAAAAAAUCAUCCAUUAUUCAGGAAUUCCUCAAACGAUUUCUUCCGAAAUCCGUACAGAGCUUCUUUAUGAAAUUCCUCCCGAUUUUUUUUCCAGAUUUACCAUGAAAAAAGUUCUUAUUCGGAAAUUGCUUAAAAAAGUUUUCCAGAGAUUUCUUCAGAAGCAUGGAUUCCUUGUGAUUUUUUCUAAGGUUUUUAUGCUUCUGGGGAUGACUUUUCAAAAAAAAAUCUUUCUAAGAUUCAUUUGGAAAAUUUUUCCAGCGAUUUCUUCAUGAAUUUCUUCAAGGACUAAUUCAAAAACGCUUCAAGAGGAUGCUUGAGAAAAUAUUCGAAGAAUUGUUUUGGAAACUCCUUUCACCACUUCUUCAAACAUUCCUCUAAAGGUUCCUUCAGAAAUUUAUUCAAGGAUUUCCUUAGGAAGCUUUCCAUAUAUUUCCUCGGCAAUUCUUUUAUGGAUUUCUACGCAAUGCCUGGACUCUAGAAGUUUUUCCAAAAAUAUGUCCAACAACAUCUUUAGGAAGUGUUUCAUGGAUUGCUUCUGAAGUAUUCAAGAAUGAUUCAAGUAAAUCUUGAAUAUAUUAUUCCAGGUAUUUCUCCAUGAAUUUCUUCCCAAAUGUCUCAGAUCGUUUUAGAAUUUCCUCUAGAGAUUCCACCAGUUUUUUUCUUUUUCAAGAAAACUUUUUUGAACUCCAUGGAUUUUUUUCAGAAAAAUCUUCAGUGAUGCUUUCGAAAAAUCCUACAUGAAUUCCUUCAGAAAACUUGAAAUUCAGCAUUCCAAUUUCCAAAAGUUACCUUCAUAAAUUCGUCCAAGAAUACCUAAAGAAAAUGAAAUGAAUUCUUUUUUUAAACGACUUUUUUUUACGCGAUUUUAUUUUGCACGACUUUUUUUACGCGAUUUUCUCGAAGUUACGCGACUUUUUUUUACGCGAUUUUGGUCAUUUGCGGAGGGCAAAUCGCGUAAAAAAAAUUUCCUUUGGAUUUUUUUUGCGCGAAUUCUCGAAGUUACGCGAACUUUUUUUACACGAUCUUUUUUUUGCGCGAACGCAUCCAUCGCGUAAAAACAGAAUUUAGUGUAUUCUGAAGAUUUUUUCAAAAAAACAUUCAGAAAACCUUUAAUGAGUCCUUAAAUAUAAAAUCAUGGAUUUCUUAACAAAUUUCUCCUGGAUUUUUUUUAGGGAAUCUAUCACAGAUUGCUUCAGAAAUUGCUAUAGCAGUUCCUUCAUAAAAUCUUCCAAAAUUCUAAAAUUCCUCAAGUAAUUUCUUCGGGAAUUCUUACAAAGCUUCCUCCUCCAGAGAUUCCUUCAACUUUUCAUUCAAACAAGUUCUUAUUGAGAAAUUUAUUUAGAAAGUAUUGGUCUCAUUCAUAAAUGUAUCCAGGGAUUCCUUUAGAGAUUCUUCAAAAAAUUUAAUAAUUUUAGUUAAUAAUUCUUUCCGUGAUUCUCCAGAGAUUCCUACGGAGAUCAUAUAGAUUUUUUAGUUCAGGUUCUCAAGUAGGUACCAAACCCGAUCAUUGUGACAGCCAUUUGGGAAUUCUAAUGAGCUUAUCUGUAACUUUCUCAAGAUGUACUGCCACCUGGAGUUUCAAAAGGAAUUUCUUCGGUUAUCUGAAGGAACUUUAAAAACUGUAUACCAUACGAGAAGGUGAUUUUAUCGGUCAUAUUAGGCCGUAAGUUAUAGAGAUUCACAAAACAGCAAUAAUUAUGUAAAACUAAAGAUAUUUGCCACUUCUUGUUCUUCUUUUUAAAGCUUUCAACUCAGCACAACAGAAGCAUCUUUUGCGUGAUAAAGGUUUACUGAGACUUAACCCUUUGGGAACGGAUGGGUCAUAUGCGUCCAGCCAAGAAAAUUGACCAUCACAAACGUGUUCUAGACCAGCGAGGUUGCAUCCAGAAAGGUGAAAAUUCCGUCUCCGAAGUGUUAAGUAAAGUAGCCAUUUAUCCAUCAAAGCCGACAAAUAAGGUUCACUGCGACAUUUCUCUGUUUAACACAGUACGGGCAAAAAAAUGUAGAGAUUGUGGUUUUCCCCCAUCUAUUUCUAGGCACGGUACGCAUAAAGCCGCUUGACACCAUGAAUUAGGGGUCGUCCAAUUGGUGAACCAGAUCAGGCAGUCCGUAGUGAUAUUCAUAGCCGGUUGAACAAAUUGCUACCGACACUACACGAUUAUCUAGGUUGAUCGGGAACAGAAAUCAAUAUUGAUGAUCAACUUCUUUCGAGUCCGAAUAUCCGGCAACAGCUAGAAUUAGCAGGUAAAGAAAGCCUUCAAUUAAUAAUUGUAGAAGUAUUCAAAGAACACUCAGCUGAAAUGAAACAGGUCAAGUUUCAGCAGGCAGGAAGAAUCAGAAAGAAAGAAGAAUAUUGUAAACAGGUUUUAAAGUAAUAUUGAAGAAAAUGUAACUCGAAAAAAAAGAAAUCAUUAGAUAAAAUCAAAAGUGUUCAUGAAUGUCUCUGGGCCAUUGUAGCUGCCGGAAACAGCCCAAUCGAAAUCUAUUUUUCGCGCAGUUUUACACAACAAUAGUGUUCCGUAAUUACAUUGCGGCUGAAUGAGUCCUUCUAAACGGAGAAUCCCCCCAAAAAAGAAUUUCAUUCAGAGCACACGGGCAUGGAAGCUUCG